rnacentral:lncRNA from 1 species
CGCUAGCGGUUGGAGCAGGGGCUCUGCUGCGACCUUUACGGUAGUGAGGUUAGGGACGAUGGGAGAGCAGCUUUGUUCCUGAAGUGCCGUCGAGGAUUAGGAUCGAGUUUCUUCGAUCGUGAGGGCAAUUAUUAGUGGCCUCUAGCCCCCCAGAUGGCAUCUUGAGGAGAGAGAAUCCACGCUACGAGAACUAACAUAGUGGACAUCGCAGUUGUCCGUAGCCGAUUUGCGGGUUACGGAGUUGUUGCAAGUAAAGAAGGGGAAAUCCGAGCGUUCUCGCGUUGGAUUUCCUCCACGUGUGAAGUGGGAAUGGUAGUGAUAUCUCGUGCUAUCUCUGUCAAGGGCAAGAAGGAGAAGGAAUUUAUUUGAGGCCCUACGACGUGGCCCUCCCUCCGCUGUCUCCCUGACCUUCCUAUGCAUCCAGUUGCUUAAGAACUCUUGGAAAGAUAGUAAGUGAAAUCUUCAUAGAGGAUUUUUGUACUUUAACAUAUAUUAUUUGAUUUGAGCCUCGCAACAUUUCAGUGUGACAGGUACGAUUAAGGUCUUUCAUACUAUGAAUGAGAAAAACAUAGAUGUACCAAGGACUCACCAAAUUUCACGGAGCUAGGAAUUGGAAGAGAGCUAGGCUUUGUAAUCCCAGGUCUUCUGACCUCCAAAUGUCCUUUCCUCUACAGUGAAUGUCAAAAUGACAAUGAAUGUCUACUCCUCUACAAUGGAGUACAAAUCGAAAGACAAGGGGCUUAUAAAACUGACUCUGACCUUAAGAAGUAGCAUAUGAGUGAUGAAUUAUUAUAGUCAAUCCUUGUGCUUACUAAGU